UACAGAGGAUGCAAGCGUUAUCCGGAAUGAUUGGGCGUAAAGCGUCUGUAGGUGGCUUUUUAAGUCCGCCGUCAAAUCCCAGGGCUCAACUCUGGACAGGCGGUGGAAACUACCAAGCUGGAGUACGGUAGGGGCAGAGGGAAUUUCCGGUGGAGCGGUGAAAUGCGUAGAGAUCGGAAAGAACACCAACGGCGAAAGCAGGCAGCUGGGGAUGCACCGACGCUGAGACACGAAAGCCAGGGGAGCGAACGGG
rnacentral:rRNA from 1 species